GCUGGGUGUGGAGGUUCACACCUGUAAUCCCAGCGGCUCUGGAGGCUGAGACAGGAGGAUGGAGAGUUGAAAGCCAGCCUCAGCAAUUUAAUGAGGCCCUAAGCAACUCAGUGAGAACCUGUCUCUA
rnacentral:sRNA from 1 species